rnacentral:tRNA from 1 species
GCGGGUGUAGCUCAUCUGGUUAGAGCGUCGGGUUGUGGUUCCGAAGGUAGAGGGUUCGAUCCCCUUCACUCGCCCCA